rnacentral:rRNA from 1 species
GCACAACGCGAAGAACCUUACCAAGGCUUGACAUACAAUUGAAUACGUAAGAAAUUACGUAGUCCUUCGGGACAGUUGUACAGGUGAUGCACGGUUGUCGUCAGCUCGUGUCGUGAGAUGUUGGGUUAAGUCCCGCAACGAGCGCAACCCUCGUGACUAGUUGCUGCCUAGCAGAACUCUAGUCAGACUGCCGUAGUUAAUACGGAGGAAGGUGAGGAUGACGUCAAAUCAUCAUGUCCCUUAUGUCUUGGGCUACACACGUACUACAAUGACUACUACAAAGAGAAGCAAGAUCGCGAGAUUGAGCAAAACUGAAAAAAGUAGUCCUAGUUCGGAUUGGAGGCUGCAACUCGCCUCCAUGAAGCUGGAAUUGCUAGUAAUCACAGGUCAGCAUACUGUGGUGAAUACGUUCCCGGGUCUUGUACACACCG